AUUUAUUAAAAAAAAAAAAGUUAAACAAAAACAAGCUAAAAGCUUGUUCUUUGAAAAGUUUAAGAGAACUGACAUACCCCCAUUAAGACAUCAAUAAAAAAAGAGAAAAAGUAACAUCAGGAAUGAAAAAUACAUUAUCAUCGGAGACUACACCAACAAUGAAAAGAUGUGAUGAUAAAAUGAACAUUUAACAUCAAUUUUAAAAUGUGAAUAAGGGCAAAUACCUCAAAAAAUUAAACUGACAACACAAAUGGAAAAUCUGGAGAGUGUCUUCUGUUAGUGGAAGUUGAAUCAGUUAUUCAAAAGUCCUUCCACAGAGACAACAUAAAGCCUUUUCAGUGAGCUCUUUCAAACAUUUGAGGAAGAAAUUACCUUAAUUUUAAACAAAUUCUUCCAAUAAAUAGAAAAAUGGAAUAUUUCCCAAUUAAGUCCAUCCUAAUCAUGAUACCAAAACAUGACAAAGGCAUCAUGAUGUAUAAUAAGGGAAACUGAAAUAGAUACAAAAGAUAGUAUCUCACUACCAAGUGACGUUAAUUCUCAAUGUAUGCAAAUGUGGCUUAACACUUGAGAAACCAAUGUACUCUGCCACGUUAAUUUUUAUAAAGGGAGAAAAAUAGUUAUCUCAACUGAUACAAAUUGGAAAAAGGAUUUGAUGAAAUUUAACAACCAUUUAUAAAAAAUUCUUAGCAAACUAUGAAUAGAACUUCUGUAAACUGCUAUACAGUCUACUAGCAGACAUAUCUGGUGGUAAAAUACUGAAAGUUUUGCCCUUGAGAGCAGGAAUGACACAAGGAUUCCCAUAAUCACUUCUUCUAUUCAACAUUGUACUAGAGAUUCUUGCCAUAUAUAAUAAGGCAAGAAAAGAAAAUGAAUGGCAUAAAGACUAAAAAGGAAGAAAUAAAAUAGUCAUUUGCAGAUACUAUGUACAUAGAAAAUCCAAAUGAAUUUACCGACUAUUAGAAUUAGUAGGUGAAUUUAACAAACUUCUUAUAAGUACAGUACUCAAAAGUCACUUAUAUUUAUAAAUCAAUACCAAAUAGAAAAUGGAUUUUAUGAAGUGAUAUCAUUUAAAAUAACACUCAAAACAUCCAAGAGCUAAGAAGUCUAAGGGGAGAUGUGUAGAGAUAUUUAUUUCUAUACUGAAAUACACAAACUAUUUUUUAUAUGAAGAACCAAACAAAUAGAAGGAUAUUCCAUUUUUGUGGGUUGGAAGAUUCAAAAAUAUGGAGAUAGUAGUUCUCACCAAACUGGUGUAGACAGUCAACCCGGUCUUACUGAUUCUUGUUAAUUUUUACAGAUGUGCUCUAAGGUAUGUUAAUAUAGGUGGUCUUAUCCUCAGAGGCAGAAUAGGUGUUCUGAACUUUCCUUUAGUGGCCUCAAAGAGGAUAACUGCCCAGAGGUAAUAUGGCUAGCAAGAGAAGAAGGUAGAAGAACGCACAAGCUUCUUUUUUUGACCUUUUUCUUUCUCCUCCACUCUCCCACCAGACUGCUCCAGUCUUGUUCUUCCUGGCUGUGUUCCCUCCUCCUAGGACCCCAGGCUGCAUAAGAAAAAAAGUUUGCUGAUCCCUGAAUUUGAUGAAUGAGUCCGACUAUGAGUUGACUAUUUCACCUGCUAUUCUAAUUUUCUGAUUGAAAAACAAAAUGUGUUACCCUCCCAACUGUGAAAAUUCUUUUCAAGUCCAUGUCCACAAAUUACCCAACAGAAUCUUCCUGAGCCAAUACAGAGAAUAAGGGAAACGAAGACCCGGUUGACCUGAUGUUGCCUCUAGCUACUGUCUCCAUCAUCUGCCUGCACAGUCUAGCUACGUGACAGCAGCUGCACUCUCCUGUCUCAGUCUUCAGCCCGCUGCUUCUGGUUUCUGCCAUUCUUGCAGAAUGGCUUUGAAGUCAUCAAAUCCAGUGACCUUUAUGCUACCCACUCUCCUUGAGCCAUUUGGUACUGUGGAACAAUUCCUCCUUCUUGAAACAUCCCCUUUCUGUGACUUCAAGGUUACCCCUCUUUCCAGACUUUUCCCCAUCAUCUCUAGCUCUUCCGGCUCAGGCUCCUUCACUGCGUUCUCUUCCUUCACCUGCUCUUUAAAAAACUAUGAUUAUUAAAGUCUGACAUACAUACAGAGAAGUGUACAAAUCCUGACUUUACAGACCAA